rnacentral:rRNA from 1 species
AGGUAGCUUGCUACUUUACCUAGCGGCGGACGGGUGAGUAAUGCUUAGGAAUCUGCCUAUUAGUGGGGGACAACAUCUCGAAAGGGAUGCUAAUACCGCAUACGUCCUACGGGAGAAAGCAGGGGACCUUCGGGCCUUGCGCUAAUAGAUGAGCCUAAGUCGGAUUAGCUAGUUGGUGGGGUAAAGGCCUACCAAGGCGACGAUCUGUAGCGGGUCUGAGAGGAUGAUCCGCCACACUGGGACUGAGACACGGCCCAGACUCCUACGGGAGGCAGCAGUGGGGAAUAUUGGACAAUGGGGGGAACCCUGAUCCAGCCAUGCCGCGUGUGUGAAGAAGGCCUUUUGGUUGUAAAGCACUUUAAGCGAGGAGGAGGCUACCGAGAUUAAUACUCUUGGAUAGUGGACGUUACUCGCAGAAUAAGCACCGGCUAACUCUGUGCCAGCAGCCGCGGUAAUACAGAGGGUGCAAGCGUUAAUCGGAUUUACUGGGCGUAAAGCGCGCGUAGGUGGCCAAUUAAGUCAAAUGUGAAAUCCCCGAGCUUAACUUGGAAUUGCAUUCGAUA